CAGAAGGUUUAAACGUGGGUUGAGGCUUGAGGCAUCAAGCUGGUCCCUGCAAGAAGACCCGAGUGUCGGCGGCCGCACAGUCACACGCGGCUCCUCCACGGUGCCUCUACUCAUAGGUUUGCUUGUGAACUCCCAGGGAUUGCAGAGAUUCAGUCAGCCGGAUACCUGGAGAGCAGAGGGCUGUCACCCACCAGCCUUGCCUGGCAAAGAAAAGGUCCCAGGAAUGGAAAAAGCAAACCAGAUCUUGAUCACCACAUGCCCCUGCUCUUCCUUCCAAGGAGCAUUCUCCUUCCCAAGAAAACCAGCACAACUUGGAUACCGAGAGCCCAGAGGAGCGAGGCAGCACCACGGCCGGGAUGGGAACAGCGUUGCCUGAGCCCGGAUUCUUCUGCGCUCUCAAAGUUACGUGUUUCUCCAAGUUCAGAAAGGUGGCAGCUCUUACACCUCUUCAUGUCCCUUGAAGUAAUCAAAGGACAGCCAGGACAGAGGUACUGAGAUACUGAUGCAGCUGCACUUCAAAGCAAAAGAAGCAAAUGCACUGGGGUCUCUUGGAUUUGCACCGCUGCAGGAGUAGGUGCUACAAACAUCUGAGUACGUGGAGACAGAGGAUGAUCGCAGAAGAAAUCUUUUCCACCGCUGGGGGCCAGCCUGGGAGGAACAAGCUGCUCAGAGCCAUCGCGUUCAGUUAAAUUGGUGUGGAAGCAGUGGCUCCUAAAUGGCACUGGGGGGCCCAUCACGCCGUGAGAGGUGGCAGCUGCUGUGGAGAAAUUGCAUUUACUCCAGACUAGACAGAAAAAAGGCAAAGAGAAGAGGAGCAAGAAUUGCGGCGCAGGCAGAUUGAAGGCCAGAUUUCCAAACAGACUUAGUGCAUGAAGAUGAGGGGGCUGGAAGCCCUGGAGGAGUCUCGGGGGCCCUUUGUAACCUGCCGAGGUGGCACGAGUCUGGCACCACGAUGGAAAGUAAAUGUGGAGACCUGAGGCCAAGUUCACCGAGUGCUUGGAGGCUGGUGGCCGUGUUGCUGCCUGGCUGAGCUGGACACAUCUGCGUUGAGCAGGAACUGCUGGAGAAGAAAAGAUCUUUGUGGUUCACUUGGCAGUUGGCCCCCUCUCUGCUACCGUGGCAGUGGGGCAAACGGCUCAGAAAUGAGGUUGGAUUGUGCAAUGCUCUCAUAAAAUAAAAAAAAUAUAUCUCCCAGUGCCUCUGUGACGAGAUGUAGCUGUGGUGAGACAGUGAAACUGUGGCAAUUUAUACCCACCUGUGUUGCUCCUGGUCCCAGUCGUGGGUGAUGCGGUCAGUACCUGUGGCCAAAUACACGCAUCGGCAGCAACACCAUCCAGUGAAAAAAACUAAAUGAAUGUUGACCUGUGGCUGUCCAUACAUAUGCAAUUCAGAGAAACUGGGGGAAGAGAUGGAUAGCACCGAAGGACAUCUUUUGAAGAAAAUCUUGUAAGACUCCAGUUUCAAUAAGGAGCAGCACUGCCGGGCUCAUUGCAGAAACAUGAGAGCACCCGCUUGCAAUUCAAAGCGCUCUCCUCCUCCGAAGCGCGUCUCUGAACCUGUCACUUCUCGGGAGGCUCUCUCUCAGGCAGGCUACAUUCUAAAUCAAGCAAUUAUGACAGUUUUCACAACAAAAGGGGACAAAUUAGUGAAAGCAGCAUAUAUAGAAACUCGGUUACUGUGACUGCUAAACACCAGUAACUGGGGUUCCUGGGAAAUACCGAAUGCCUCAGAUUUUUGCAGUGACCGUCCAUAGAAAAAGAGAAAGUCGUGAAGGUCGUGAAGCAGCCCACUGGCUUUGGUGCCAAAAGUAAUGAGUUACAAACUGGUGCAGGCUGGGAUCGUUAAUUCUGGACGUAUUGACAAGUUUGAGAGCCCCGGGAAGGCUGUCGUUAGAAAUUCAGCUGAGAGUGCAAUCUGCUCCCCCGUCUGUGAUCGUCCUGAAGCCCUCUGCAGUCCCAGGUUUGUGUGCACACGGGUGUAAGAGGACCGAGAACUUCAGUAAAGAUCAAUCUGGGGCGUACGAGCUCUCAAACCCAGCUUAGGAUCAUCUUCUCUGAAAAGGACUGAGAGGGAACAGGAAAGGCUGGAGCUCAGGAAAACGAGGCAGGUCUGGAAGAAAGAAAGAAAUGGUCCAUACGAGUGGCAUGACAUUUUUGCCCUGUAAAGACUUGAAGGAGUGAAGCUGAAGAGAUGAAUCCCUGUUUUUCCCUACUGACAUCUUAAUAUCUCAUCCCAGUGCAUGGGCAGAGCAGGUGAGGUGGGUGCUUGUGCCCAGGACUGGGGUCAAUAGCCUUUAGAUGGCCAUGUAGAUGGCCAUGGCCUCCUGGGCGCAUGUGGCCAUUGGCCCAUCUGACCCACUCUGGUUCAGGCUGGAGGAAAGGCCCCAGAAGCAGCGAUUAUGGGAAUAAAAGGAAAUUUAUACAAGCCAAUGGACAUCCCGCAGACUGUCUUCCAUUCACUGUGGAAUACUCCUUCCUCUUGCCUGAUAAAGUGACAUCUGGUUAGUAUAUCUGCCUGAUUAUCUAGUUCUCUGCAUCACUUUCAGCAACGUAAUCUCUCUAAUUGGUACACAGAAUUUUUUCCAGUAUGGUUAAAACAGCAGAUUUUUGUGUCGCAAUUCCUUCAUGGUUGUUUUUGCUAUCAGCUUCAGAAGUCAUGCAAAAGGAGACUAAUUUUGUCAUUAUUCAUUUACAACAUUACCAUGUUUGCAGCUUCAGAAACAGUAUUUAGGUCUACAUACGAAGGAAAUAAAAUGCCCUAAUUAAUUUUCUGCAUCACUGAAAUGGAGCUUCAGUCAAAGGGGAAGGCAGACAUCGCGGAUGUCACAGCGCCAGCCUAGAACCAAGCCUCCAGCACAGUUUAGGAGCAAAAGGUAAAAUGAGCCAGUAGAAGAGAUGAUGAAAACGCUGAUUGUAAGAGGCUUUUGGAUGAGAUAAGCAAAUCUCCUUGUAAUCUCAAAUAAAUCUGAAGUUUUCCUGCUGCGUUCUCACCCCAUCCCAAGCCUGCCGUACAUUUUGUUUCUGAAAACAGCCCCCAGUUCUAUUUUCACGCUUCAGGCAUUAACACUCUGGAUGAAAACACUCUUCCUUGUCCUUAUUUGUUAAAACCUUAAAGGUUAUUUCCUGAAGGUAAGAGGGCGGUCGCUGCCUUCACAAUGGCACAGCUUUUCUGUAACACAAACAGAGCUGGCCUGUGUGGUUGGAGUGGUUGUCAAGGGCUGGCUGGUGAUCAGCCCCUCAAAGAUGUCUCUGUCCUUUGGAACUGGCCCUACAAAUCCAUCACCUGGCUGGAAAAAGUCUUCAUCAGGAACACACUUCCAAGAGGAAGAUUGAGUAAUAAUAAGGCAAACCUGCUCCAGGUAAAAUAAACAGGGCUGUGGUUUGGGUUUUUUCCCCUUUUUGCUAUAAGCAGCUGCAUUGAAGCCUGGAUACUGCUGCCAGGAUUGGGAUUUCUCAACAGACUGUAUU